rnacentral:lncRNA from 1 species
AAUCAACGAGUCUUAAUCCCUAAAUUCGCGGUAUUCUUUUGAAUCAACGUGAAUUUAGUUGUUCUUUUGUUCCGGUAUUCUCUAAAAUCAACGGAAUAUUUUGAACAUUAAACUUCCGCUGCAUCAGCUUGGUAUCAGAGCCAAAACCUGGUAUCACCAAUCUAACUCCAUCUACCACCAAACCUUUCCUUUUUCCCUUUUUGAUUUUU